ACUCCUACGGGAGGCAGCAGUAGGGAAUCUUAGACAAUGGGGGAAACCCUGAUCUAGCCAUGCCGCGUGAUCGAUGAAGGCCUUAGGGUUGUAAAGAUCUUUCAGUGGGGAAGAUAAUGACGGUACCAUAGGAAUAAGCACCGGCUAACUCCGUGCCAGCAGCCGCGGUAAU
rnacentral:rRNA from 1 species